UUCCACUAAAACGGGGCCUGGUUAGUACUUGGAUGGGAGACUGCUGGGAAUACCAGGCGCCACAGUGGGAC
rnacentral:rRNA from 1 species